GUCCUUGUCGUUCAAUGGAUAGGACAUGAGUUUGCGGAACUCAAAAUGUAGGUUCGAUUCCUACCAGGGGCACCA
rnacentral:tRNA from 1 species